UACGGCUAUAUCACGUUGAAACACCGGUUCCCAUAUGAUCACUGAAGUUAAGCAACAUUGAACCUGGUCAGUACCUAGAUGAGUGACUGCUUGGGAAUACCAGAUGCUGUAAG